UUUUACCUUUUUGUCCAACCUUGCAAUUGGGGGGGGCAAAAAAAAUUCUUGCACCAGGGAUCUUUAUACUUUAGUUUUGCCACUGUUUAGGGGUCGAGGGUGUGAUUGUAUGUAAGGGAGUGGGAGGGGGGCCAUGGCCUAUAGGGCCCUAGAAAAUGCUUGCCCAGUGUCCAAUCGAUUUAUUAAAGACGACCCUGCGUGGUCCUAUGCCCAAAAUAGUUCCAGGGAAUUGGGGUUAGCGGUCGGCCUCUUUCGGGAGCACAAAGGUACAAAAAACACCUAAC